rnacentral:lncRNA from 1 species
AUUUUCUUCAACGAAAUUGUUAAUUGUUUCUAUGAUUUCUUCUCUAACUUUCCGAUUUUGGAGUAUCAUGUUAUUUAAUUUCCAAUUAAUUUUUGAUUUGGGUCUCCAUGUACCCUUGCCGAUCAAUAUUUUAAUUGCCUUGUGAUCUGAAAAAGCUGCAGUUAAUAUUUCUGCUUUUCUGCAUUUAAGUGCCAUGUUUCUAUGACCUAGUGUAUGAUCUAUUUUUGUGAAUGUGCCAUGUGGUGCUGAAAAGAAGGUGUAUUCUUUUUUGUCCCUAUUUAUUUUUCUCCAUAUGUCUAUUAAUUCUAAUUUUUCUAAGAUUUCAUUCACCUCUUUUACCUCUUUCUUAUUUAUUUUUUGAUUUGAUUUAUCUAAAUUUGAUAGUGGUUGGUUCAAGUCUCCCACUAAUAUGGUUUUACUGUCUAAUUCCUCCUUCAAUUCUCCUAGUUUCUCUAUUAAAAAUUUGGAUGCUAUACCAUUUGGUGCAUACAUGUUGAUUAGGGAGAUUGGUCUAUAGUUUUCUUUCUCUGUUUUUGACCUGCCUGGCUUUGGGAUCAGUAUAAUGUUUGUGUCGUAAAAUGAAUUUGGUAGAACUCCUUCUUGGCUUAUUCUGUCAAAUAGCUUGUUUAAUAUUGGGAUUAGUUGUUCUAUGAAUGUUUGAUAGAAUUCAUUUGUGAAUCCAUCUGGACUUGGGGAUUUUUUCUUAGGGAGUUCUUUGAUGGCUUGUUCAAUUUCUUUUUCUGAUAUGGGGUUGUUAAGGUAAUUUAUUUCUUCCUCUUUUAGUCUAGGCAAUUUAUAUUUUUGUAAGUAUUCAUCCAUAUCACCUAGAUUGCCACAUUUGUUGCCAUAUAAUUAGGCAUAGUAGUUUUUAAUAAUCGCCUUAAUUUCCUCUUCAUUAGAGGUGAGGUCUCCUUUUUCAUCUUGGAUACUGUCAAUUUGGUUUAUUUCUUACCUUUUUUUAAUUAGACUGACUAGUACUUUGUCUAUUUUAUUUUUUUUCAAAGUACCAGCUUCUAGUCUUAUUUAUUAAAUCAAUAGUUCUUUGACUUUCAAUUUUAUUAAUUUCUCCUUUAAG